rnacentral:rRNA from 1 species
UACGUAGGGUGCAAGCGUUAAUCGGAAUUACUGGGCGUAAAGCGUGCGCAGGCGGUUGUGUAAGACAGAUGUGAAAUCCCCGGGCUCAACCUGGGAACUGCAUUUGUGACUGCAUUGCUGGAGUGCGGCAGAGGGGGAUGGAAUUCCGCGUGUAGCAGUGAAAUGCGUAGAUAUGCGGAGGAACACCAACGGCGAAAGCACUCUGCUGGGCCGACACUGACACUGAGAGACGAAAGCUAGGGGGAGCGAAUGGG